GAAAUGCGAUAAGUAAUGUGAAUUGCAGAAUUCAGUGAAUCAUCGAAUCUUUGAACGCACAUUGCGCCCGCCAGUAUUCUGGCGGGCAUGCCUGUUCGAGCGUCAUUUCAACCAUCAAGCCCCGGCGCUUGUGUUGGGGACCCGCGGCUGCCGCGGGCCCUUAAAGACAGUGGCGGUCCUCGCUGCAGCACCGAGCGUAGUAGCUAUACACCUCGCCCUGGGAGCUGCGCGUGCGACCACACCGUAAAACCCCCCACCUCUCACAAGGUUGACCUCGGAUCAGGUAGGAAUACCCGCUGAACUUAAGC
rnacentral:misc_RNA from 1 species